rnacentral:lncRNA from 1 species
CAGGCAUCAAUAUGUUAAAAACUAAGGCGAAUUUUUAAAAAGCAAAGAAUAUUUGGUGAAAUACUAGAAUACCAACAUAUGAUUGUAGACAAUGCAAAAGUACUGGAAUAUAUAACGUUUCUAUAAAAAGGACUUGUAUGUAUGGUGAGUAAGCACAUAGCCAUAUGGUUACUUCGGUUACUAUGGUUACUACCCCUAUGGUUACUACGGUUAGAACUGUUAAUGAAACAGUGUAUGAAAGAAGCAGCAGAGCAUACCAGAUGGGAGUUGGCCAAAGCUAUUAAAAAAGAGAGACAAAGUAAAAGCAAUGGAUCAGAUGAUUGGAUCCUGAUUAAUGAAACUAAUUGAAUGGCUGGAAAAUAUUGCCUCAAUUUUCAUUAGAGAAGAUAAAUCAAAAAGAAUGAUCAUUA